GCGAGGCCGUCGGGACUUCAGAAUCAGCGUGGCCCGGCCACUGUGAGGGUGUGCGCGCCGCUGGUCUCAGAGGCCGUGGGGUGAGAUGCCAGACGGCGCUCGGCGAGACAGAGGUUUCCCGGAAUCGUAUUUGGGGGCUCGUAAGACUUUUCUCCCCUAAGAGGGCCUGAGGGGAGGCCGGUGGGACACAAACUAGGCCUCGCCCUCCCUUUCUAAUCCCCGCCCACGUCACCCUACCCCGCCAGUCUUCGAGGCCCCCUCUGCACCUUCUUCCCCACCCCGCCCUGUUUUCCUUCUCGUCCUCCCCCACCCCCCCUCCCAUCUUUUCUCUCUGCCUCUCCCUUCUCUUCUGCCCACUCUCCCCUCUGGGACCCUCUCCUCUCCCACCGUCUUCCCUCUUUCUUCCCCUUUGCUUGCUUGCUCUCUCACUCCCCUCUCCGGCAUCUACCCUUCCCUCCCCGCCACCACUCUCUACGUGGGUCUGUUGGAUUGCCCAUCACCUCUUAAUCGUUUCUUAGUUUGUAUGGAAAUAAACAAUCUCCGGAUAUGAGGUUAAUUUCAUCUUUUUUAGCAUAAUCCAGUUUCUGGUAUACAAGGGGGCGCAGCCUAAGUAUCAAACUCAUAAAAAAAGAGCGUGAUCCCCACGCUCAGGGUUUUUAGGGGAGUAGGACAAGACCACCGGUUCUUUUGAUCUCUGACCCGGCCACUGCCUAGGCUCUGGAGCCCCAAAGGGCCAUGGUGAUUGUUGUGAGUGGCACGCGGGGUGGUGAGCACCUGGGGGCAGGGAUGGAGGCUCGUGGCCCUGGCGGAGCCCCGAAGCUGUGGCCCCAAAGCUGGCGCCCUAAGGUGAGGCCCUCCCAGCUCCUCACAGACUCUUCCAGACCAGUUCCUGGAAGUUGUCUCGAGCCAGCCACGGAGCAGCAGGGCACGCCUCCAGGUUACUCGGUUCUGUUUUGCCCGCGGACUCAGCCCUGGCUUUCCCUCUGCGUCAACUCAUUCUUUGGAGAAAGGCCAGAAAAAAACAAUGGCUCUGUCCAGCCCGAGGUUCAUGGUGUCCGAGAGCCUGGAUUCCCUUGGCAAUCUUUCGUACUCUCCCAGGGGCAAAUUACCCAGAGCCCUGAGCCCACGCCCACGUGGUUUCUUUCUUUUUGCCGUUAGUGUGUUGACCUUACCUGUUUUUAAAAAAUUAUGUGUAAUAUACAUUGUGUAUAACAAAUAUAUUCUUAACAGAAAUGUAUUAGCAGUGGGCACAAGUGAAAAGAGUCUUCCAGGAAAAACAGAUAGCCAAGACUAGAACUGGGGGGACUUAGGGCCACAAUACAACUCAUGCUUCUAUUGGAGAAGGAAAGUUGGGAAACAGCUACAUCAAAAAGAAGAAAACAUUCAGAGAAGUCUUUAAAAAGUGGGGAAAGAGAAAGAAAGUGAAGAGAUCAAUUAAUGUAACUUUUAAAAAAAUGUACCCAAUUUCCCCAAUGAAAAUAAAACUAAACAGGGUCUUUGGGACCUCAGCUUCUGGUUCACGUUUAC